GAUGCCAGGGUCAAAAGGUCAAAAAGCCGUUCAUGCUUGCAUGAUAAGGCUUUUGAACUUGGGACCCGCCAAACAUGAGAAAGUAGCGAUUUACGUAGUAAAUCAGCGGAUUUCGAAUGUUUGUAGAAUUGCGGGAGCUGCUUUGCAGCGGAGUAAUUCGUAGGCAUC
rnacentral:sRNA from 1 species